rnacentral:rRNA from 1 species
UACGUAGGGUCCGAGCGUUGUCCGGAAUUACUGGGCGUAAAGGGUGCGUAGGUGGCGCUGUAAGUCGGGUGUGAAAUUUCGGAGCUUAACUCCGAAACUGCAUUCGAUACUGCGGUGCUUGAGGACUGGAGAGGAGACUGGAAUUCAUGGUGUAGCAGUGAAAUGCGUAGAGAUCAUGAGGAAGACCAGUGGCGAAGGCGGGUCUCUGGACAGUUCCUGACACUGAGGCACGAAGGCCAGGGGAGCAAACGGG